UGGGGAAUAUUGCACAAUGGGCGCAAGCCUGAUGCAGCCAUGCCGCGUGUAUGAAGAAGGCCUUCGGGUUGUAAAGUACUUUCAGCGGGGAGGAAGGCGAUAAGGUUAAUAACCUUGUCGAUUGACGUUACCCGCAGAAGAAGCACCGGCUAACUACGUGCCAGCAGCCGCGGUAAUACGGAGGGGGCAAGCGUUAAUCGGAAUUACUGGGCGUAAAGCGCACGCAGGCGGUCUGUCAAGUCGGAUGUGAAAUCCCCGGGCUCAACCUGGGAACUGCAUUCGAAACUGGCAGGCUAGAGUCUUGUAGAGGGGGGUAGAAUUCCAGGUGUAGCGGUGAAAUGCGUAGAGAUCUGGAGGAAUACCGGUGGCGAAGGCGGCCCCCUGGACAAAGACUGACGCUCAGGUGCGAAAGCGUGGGGAGCAAACA
rnacentral:rRNA from 1 species